UUGCCCUACGGGAGGCAGCAGUGGGGAAUAUUGGUCAAUGGGCGCGAGCCUGAACCAGCCAAGUCGCGUGAGGGAAGACGGUCCUAUGGAUUGUAAACCUCUUUUGUCGGGGAGCAAAAGACGCCACGCGUGGCGUUCCGAGAGUACCCGAAGAAAAAGCAUCGGCUAACUCCGUGCCAGCAGCCGCGGUAAUACGGAGGAUGCGAGCGUUAUCCGGAUUUAUUGGGCGUAAAGGGAACGCAGGCGGUCUUUUAAGGCUGAUGUGAAAGCCUUCGGCUUAACCGGAGUAG
rnacentral:rRNA from 1 species